GAUGAACGCUGGCGGCGUGCCUAAUACAUGCAAGUCGAGCGAACAGACGAGGAGCUUGCUCCUCUGACGUUAGCGGCGGACGGGUGAGUAACACGUGGAUAACCUACCUAUAAGACUGGGAUAACUUCGGGAAACCGGAGCUAAUACCGGAUAAUAUAUUGAACCGUAUGGUUCAAUAGUGAAAGACGGUUUUGCUGUCACUUAUAGAUGGAUCCGCGCCGCAUUAGCUAGUUGGUAAGGUAACGGCUUACCAAGGCGACGAUGCGUAGCCGACCUGAGAGAGUGAUCGGCCACACUAGAACUGGGACACGGUCCAUACUCCUACGGGAGGCAGCAGUAGGGAAUCUUCCGCAAUGGGCGAAAGCCUGACGGAGCAACGCCGCGUGAGUGAUGAAGGUCUUCGGAUCGUAAAACUCUGUUAUUAGGGAAGAACAAAUGUGUAAGUAACUAUGCACGUCUUGACGGUACCUAAUCAGAAAGCCACGGCUAACUACGUG
rnacentral:rRNA from 1 species